CAGGCUGCAGCCCACGUAGAGUAGUUUGCUAGCGUGAAGGGCCGAAGGGGACGGGACCAACCUACCCUAACCCUCGUUCGUUCCGUGGUCGCUGGGUGGGUUUCCGCCGCCAACCGUCGGCUUCCAAAUCCGGUGGCGCAGCCGCCUCUGCCCCUACCGCCGUCAUGCUUGGCGAGUUCUCCACCACCCCCUCCGACGCCCCUUUCCCACCACUUACAUGUCCUGGCCGCGCGCCGUUGAACUCACGGUGGAUUGAAGAUCCUCAGUGACGUCGCCGUCGCUUGCCAAGGCGGCCAAGGUCGUUACGAGGUUCCGAUAGCGGGACCUGGCGUCCAUCGCGACGCGCCACCCGUUCCAGCUCGGCAGUGGCGCAGGAGAUGUUAGGAGGCCGACGCGGUGGCUCUGGGAGGCGAAAUGGAAGGAGACGAUUCGAGAUGUCGCCGGCCCGUGUUUUGGUGGUCAAAGGUUGCUGGCGCGUCGCCUUCUCCGGCGUCGGCCUUUCCCGGUGCUACUCGUGGCCCUGGAGCGUCACUUGGUGCAUUUGCUGCGGCGCGCCAUCCUGCCACCUAAUACCUGGGAUAGUGAGGCCCUAAAGCUGGACGAGAAGGCUCCUGGGCGCACCGGAGGAUGUCCCACUGGCAUAGGAGAACAAGGUCAGCAAAAAUGGCAGUGCAAAUGUGGAGGAAGAAGGUAAGGUAUACUUCGUAAGCAACUUUGUUCGGUUAUGAGGGUGGGGACUCCAUCAUGUCUUGGCCCCAUGACAAGUUUUCGAGGACUUCCAUGGACAGGGUUAGUGUACUGACUACUGAGCUUGCGAUAAACUAUCAGAUCCACAAGUAUUGUUUUGAGCUGUCUUGUUUUGUCUGGUUUUGAUCCUUCCAUUUUCUUCAAUGAUAUAGACCCAUGACAAGGCUACUCAGGUGGAUGGUGAGAAAAUUGACAUGGAGCCUGAAAAUAUCAGGUUACAUUUGGAGGUAACAAGACAACGUGUUUUGAUAUUAGGUUCGGGAUGAAAAGAAGAUUGAACAACAAAUAAGUGACGCCAAGCUUCAAGAUGAAGCAUUUCUAGCAUUUUAGGAUGGCGGUGAUAGAAGAGCUGGAAGCAAAAGUUAAAGAAAAUAAUAACAAAGAUGUUGCACAAGACAAGAUAAAGGAGCUCGAGGUUCUUAUGCAGAAGUCGAUCAGAUUUUUGGUGGUGAUCGUCAGUGUAGUCAUCGCCUUAGCUGAUGUAUUAACUAACGUGUAUGUUGCUAGAGUAAUUAUUCCAACCGUAUAGAUUCUUCAUUCAUGGAUCUUGGAAAUCAUUUGCUCAAUAUUAUUCAUAGAUCUUGUAA